rnacentral:lncRNA from 1 species
CCAAGUGGAAACUGUAAGUGGAAACUGUAAGUGAAGAGACACAGAAUGGCCUCAUAAAAUCUGUGGACAAACAGACAAGGUGUAUGAGCUACUGGAAAUAUUGUAAUGGUAUCAAGAGCUAGUAGUGUGAUACCUACUGCACUUCAGACAAACUGGCCUCUUCUCCGCCUUGCAUCUGUCAGCCAGAGUACUUGCAAACUGGACCCUGUUGUACACAGCCGACUCAGUGGUGUGACUCACUUACCAUGCUUACAGCUUACCAUAUAUUGCUGAAAACUGUCAGCCUGAAAACCAGUCUUACGGCUGAUGUCUAUUUUGAACACCUUUUGUCAGAGUGAGAUGCUGUUUCAUGUUUUGACGAAGUGAGCACAAUCUUAGUCAGUAUCAAACAGGUUUCUGUUGCACAGCUGGAGACCAAAACAAGCAUGAACUGAGUUACAGUACUUCCUGGACAUGUUGUAAGCCAGCCAUUUAAAAUCUAGUCUCCACUUUUGUGUAGAUUUUGUAUGUCAUACUUGCAUAUUUGACGGAAGUAUAACAAUAUUAUUUGUCACUACAUCGAAAACUAACCGGUCAGGCCAUGUUGACGUUGGUGUCACUGACACGAAACAAGUAGCAGCAGAUUGACAGAUAGGUGUUUAUUUUGUAGACUGUUUGUGUCUGGACCAGACAAUCCAGUGAUCAACAGCAUGAGCAUUGAUCUACACUAUUGGGAUAUGUGUCAACCAAGUCAGCGAGCCUGACCAUCCGAUCCUGUUUGUUGCCUCUUACAAGCAUGUGUUACUGAAGAUCAGUUCUAACUGUUCUAAAUGUUCAUGGGUCAGACUGUUUUUGUGAAAGUUGUGAAGAAUAACAGGUGAUGCAUUUGUUAAAGUGUCCCCUUGACAACUGCUGCUGGAAGGAGAGCAUGCAGAUCAAAUAUUUGCAAUAUCAAUUGUAGAUGAAUUUAUUUGCCGAUGUACAGUCAUGGAGAGUGUGUGCCUGGUGUUUGGGGGAAGUCCACCUGUGUCCACCUGUGUCCACCUGUGUCCCCCUCCAGUUAGGUGUGUGUCUGGUGUUGAGGUUGGGUUGUUUGGGGGAAGUCCACCUGUAUCCACCUGUGUCCACCUGUGUCCCCCUCCAGUUAGAUGUGUGUCUGGUGUUGUGGUUGGGUUGUUUGGGGGAAGUCCACUUGUGUCCACCUGUGUCCCCCUCCAGUUAGGUGUGUGUCUGGUGUUGAGGUUGGGAUGUUUGGGGGAAGUCCACCUGUGUCCACCUGUGUCCCCCUCCAGUUAGAUGUGUGUCUGGUGUUGAGGUUGGGUUGUUUGGGGGAAGUCCACCUGUGUCCACCUGUGUCCCCCUCCAGUUAGGUGUGUGUCUGGUGUUGAGGUUGGGUAGGUUGGGGGAAGUACACCUGUAUCCACCUGUGUCCCCCUCCAGUUAGGUGUGUGUCUGGUGUUGAGGUUGGGUAGUUUGGGGGAAGUACACCUGUGUGCACCUGUGUCCCCUCCAUUUAGGUGUGUGUCUGGUGUUGAGGUUGGGUAGUUUGGGGGAAGUCCACCUGUUCCCAUGUAUGUUAGCUCAACUCACUGAAAGGUGAUAGUCAAGUGAGAUGAUGUCUUAGCCUGUUUGCACAUUGUCCAUUGAACCAAUCCAUAUUUUCAAUAUGGCAGCAGGAGCAGCUAUGUCCAGUUGUGAGCUUCACUUCCGACUUUUCUUCCAUGCGAAGAUGAAUUCCGUGAUAUUAUUUAAAAUAAUAUGCAAUCCAACUCGCUCACUCUUCCUACAAGUUUUCAGGACACAGUAGAUUAUGGAGGUUAUGUUGAUAUUCACAAUUGUUAUCAUUUAAAGUUCUUUUUUGUCUUGUGUUCAUUUACAUGUGUUUGAGAGAUGUGGCAUCAUGCUGCUGCUGUAUGACCACAAAUGUUGUUGAGCCCCACUCUGUCACUCCAUAAUACUUAAGAAAGGCCAUGUAUUUGUAAUCAGUUGCUAGACAAAUUUCUCAGCCAAGUUCUUGUUUUCUGUAGUUUUUUUAUGAUUAAAGAACUUGUCUGUGCACCCUGAUAUUGUUUGAAAUUGACUCGACACUAAGCAUGGUUGCCAUUGGUUGGUACUUGUUUACCUCCGUAAGAGUGGAUAAUAAUAAUAUAAUAAUAAUAAUGCACUUGUAUAGCACCUAUUUUCCAACCGGUGGCUGCUCAGUGGUGCUUCACAAAGUUAAAAAUAUAAAUAAAUUAAACAGAGUUAUUGGUUGAAGAGAUAGGUUUUCAAGUCACAGUGGAAUGACUGGAGACUGGAGUCCGUAGAUUUGAGAGAUGUUGGAAGGCUGUUCAAAAGAGUUGGAGCCACAUAUUGAAGUUAAUCAUGAAAAGUGAGUUACCCCUUACAUCUCAUUUGGCGGAUCUCUAACAUUUAAUAGGAUAUGAAUUUGGGGGGGGCAAUUUUGUCUUCACAUUUUGGGCUUUUUAUUUUUUAUUUCAGUUUUGAUAGGCUUUGUAAGCCAGCUGAUGAAGAGUCUUUUGAUAUGGCCCCUACCUCUUCCCAGAUCAGGCCAGGGACAUUUCAGAACUCCAGACUUAGAACCUGUUUGUUUCAAUAACCAGAACUGAUUGUGAUUCAUCUCAGACUACAUACCUGUAGCUGUGCAUGUGAAUGGACACAGAUGUAUCGUAACAUGAUAUGUAAUAUUGCUCAAUUACUUGUUGAUAACAGAUCAUUUGACAGUGACCAUGGUAACACAAGCACUGUAGGAGAUAGUAGGCUAUUGUGAUGGGAGUUUCCACAGAUACUACAUCUGUCUUGUAUCAUUUUAGUAUUGACUGAAGACAAGAUCUUCUGGCAGAAAUAAACAGAGAUAAAGUUUG